rnacentral:rRNA from 1 species
GACGAACUGUGCGAACGUUGUUCGGAAUCACUGGGCUUAAAGGGCGCGUAGGCGGCUUUAUAAGUCGGGGGUGAAAGCCUGUGGCUCAACCACAGAAUUGCCUUCGAUACUGUAGAGCUUGAGACCGGAAGAGGUAAGUGGAACUGCGAGUGUAGAGGUGAAAUUCGUAGAUAUUCGCAAGAACACCAGUGGCGAAGGCGGCUUACUGGUCCGGUUCUGACGCUGAGGUGCGAAAGCGUGGGGAGCAAACAGG